rnacentral:rRNA from 1 species
GCUUAACACAUGCAAGUCGAGGGGCAGCAUGGUCUUAGCUUGCUAAGGCCGAUGGCGACCGGCGCACGGGUGAGUAACACGUAUCCAACCUGCCGUCUACUCUUGGACAGCCUUCUGAAAGGAAGAUUAAUACAAGAUGGCAUCAUGAGUCCACAUGUUCACAUGAUUAAAGGUAUUCCGGUAGACGAUGGGGAUGCGUUCCAUUAGAUAGUAGGCGGGGUAACGGCCCACCUAGUCUUCGAUGGAUAGGGGUUCUGAGAGGAAGGUCCCCCACAUUGGAACUGAGACACGGUCCAAACUCCUACGGGAGGCAGCAGUGAGGAAUAUUGGUCAAUGGGCGAGAGCCUGAACCAGCCAAGUAGCGUGAAGGAUGACUGCCCUAUGGGUUGUAAACUUCUUUUAUAAAGGAAUAAAGUCGGGUAUGCAUACCCGUUUGCAUGUACUUUAUGAAUAAGGAUCGGCUAACUCCGUGCCAGCAGCCGCGGUAAUACGGAGGAUCCGAGCGUUAUCCGGAUUUAUUGGGUUUAAAGGGAGCGUAGAUGGAUGUUUAAGUCAGUUGUGAAAGUUUGCGGCUCAACCGUAAAAUUGCAGUUGAUACUGGAUAUCUUGAGUGCAGUUGAGGCAGGCGGAAUUCGUGGUGUAGCGGUGAAAUGCUUAGAUAUCACGAAGAACUCCGAUUGCGAAGGCAGCCUGCUAAGCUGCAACUGACAUUGAGGCUCGAAAGUGUGGGUAUCAAACAGGAUUAGAUACCCUGGUAGUCCACACGGUAAACGAUGAAUACUCGCUGUUUGCGAUAUACAGCAAGCGGCCAAGCGAAAGCGUUAAGUAUUCCACCUGGGGAGUACGCCGGCAACGGUGAAACUCAAAGGAAUCGACGGGGGCCCGCACAAGCGGAGGAACAUGUGGUUUAAUUCGAUGAUACGCGAGGAACCUUACCCGGGCUUAAAUUGCAGAUGAAUUACGGUGAAAGCCGUAAGCCGCAAGGCAUCUGUGAAGGUGCUGCAUGGUUGUCGUCAGCUCGUGCCGUGAGGUGUCGGCUUAAGUGCCAUAACGAGCGCAACCCUUGUUGUCAGUUACUAACAGGUCAUGCUGAGGACUCUGACAAGACUGCCAUCGUAAGAUGUGAGGAAGGAGGGGAUGACGUCAAAUCAGCACGGCCCUUACGUCCGGGGCUACACACGUGUUACAAUGGGGGGUACAGAGGGCCGCUACCACGCGAGUGGAUGCCAAUCCCAAAAACCUCUCUCAGUUCGGACUGGAGUCUGCAACCCGACUCCACGAAGCUGGAUUCGCUAGUAAUCGCGCAUCAGCCACGGCGCGGUGAAUACGUUCCCGGGCCUUGUACACACCGCCCGUCAAGCCAUGGGAGCCGGGGGUACCUGAAGUGCGUAACCGCGAGGAGCGCCCUAGGGUAAAACUGGUGACUGGGGCUAAG